CCAUACUGCUCCUGAGAAAUUUUGCUGGAGCAACCGUGAAAGUAUGGACGCUACCUAAAAGGAAACUUUUGUUUAGCAUGUUCACCUGGAGUCUCUUACUGUGCAUAGUCCUUGGUCAAGACAGCAGUCAUGGAAUGACAAAGUAGGAGAGUGGUGACUUGGAGGUGCUUUUCCAUAAAAGACAGAAAAUCCUAGCAAUAUGAGAAGAUGAGAGGAUGAAGGAAUGGCAAGACCUCUUCUGGUGUUAUUUCCAGACAAGAAAAAAGAAACCCAGUGCUGCAAGAAAUAUCACCAAAGCCCAAAUAUAUAUGCAUAGACGAUAGAGAUAUGGGCGAUGAUCGUUUUCACUGGGGACUCCCACAGAUGAACUGGAAGCAAACACUGGUGGAAGGUAUUGGAUUGCCCAGCACCUGGAGGCAUCAGCCUGUAAUCACCUCAUACACCUGGGUUUGGUUCCUGUCAAUUUGCAACGAGAAAAAAAAAUCACAAUAUUCUUGUCAUAUUGCCAGAGGAAGUGGGUGACCUUAAGCAAUGCAGAAAGUUUGAGCAUCUUAUCUCGAUUGCAAAAUGAGGCUGGGGACGUGGAACAUGGUGACUUGAGAACAUAUAUUUGAAAGCACACUAUCAUCAUAACAUCAUUGUAAUUACAUUCUUCUAUAUUCAUUGAUUCUUAUUGCUGCUCGUCAAAACUUGUGUCCCCACCCAAAUGUGUAUAUUGAAAUCCUAGGGCAUCCCCGGUGGCUCAGCGGUUUAGCGCCUGUCUUCAGCCUGGGGCAUGAUCCUGGAGACCCAGGAUUGAGUCCCACAUCGGGUUCCCUGCAUGGAGCCGGCUUCUCCCUCUGCCUC